rnacentral:rRNA from 1 species
UACGUAGGUGGCAAGCGUUGUCCGGAAUUAUUGGGCGUAAAGCGCGCGCAGGUGGUUUCUUAAGUCUGAUGUGAAAGCCCACGGCACAACCGUGGAGGGUCAUUGGAAACUGGGGAACUUGAGUGCAGAAGAGGAAAGUGGAAUUCCAAGUGUAGCGGUGAAAUGCGUAGAGAUUUGGAGGAACACCAGUGGCGAAGGCGACUUUCUGGUCUGUAACUGACACUGAGGCGCGAAAGCGUGGGGAGCGAACAGG